ACACCCCUUUUCCCUUUUUCUCUUUCUCUGUGAACGGCCAACCAUGACCAACACCAUUCUUCACUCAUCUUCAUCUCUACCAACACACACCCAACACCAUUCAACCACCACGAUUAUCAAAACAAUAUUCAACCCUUCGAAAAUACUCUAUGAUUGGUUCCUCCAUGACUUAAAAAAUAUAACUACGUGACUUUAAAAAAGAAAAAUCCUUUUCUCCAUAAACAAAAAAAUGUCCGGAUUUGAAUUUGGCCGAAAAAUCAAGAACACGUUGCCGCAAAUUCAAGAAAGAUGUCCGGAUUUGAAUUUGGAGUAAAGAAUCAGCCCACCUCAUCAUCAAAACAACAGUUCAUCAUCAUCAUCAUUAUCAAUGGUACAAGCAGUAGCAGCACUGGUUAUGAUUUCUUAGGGUUGAAAACUGGUGUUUUGGAUUACAGAAGCAUAGAGAUGAAAUGAAUUCUCAAUUCUCAUUUGGAUUUUCAGAAUUAUGUAUGAAUUUACACUAUAACAAAAUGGGGAAUUGAUGAUUGUUCAGCAAAUCGAUGUUCUUCGGUGAGAGAUGAAGAUGAAUGAAGAAUGGUAGGAUUGGGGACUUUUUGAUUCUGAGAGCAUGUUUGGCUAAGCUUUUUGAAACAACUUAUUUACUUACUGGCUUUUCGAAAAGUUAUAAGCUCUAAAAUGAUUAUUGGCUUUUCGAAAAGUUAUAAGCUCUAAAAUGAUGUUUGGCAAUGAGGGUGUAUGUGAGGGGGAAAAGUGAUUUUUCCAAAAAGUCACUCCAUCCUGACUUUUCAAAAAGCCAAUAAGUCAAUAAGCUGUUUUCAAAAAGCUUAGCCAAACAUGCCCUGAAUCUAAAAACUUAUGGCUUAGAAAGGUUGAAGAUGAUGGUAGGAGGGUGAGGUGGUUACGGUGGUAUUUGUGGUGGUCGGUGGUGUUUGUCAAUUCAGGUUGCAAGGUUGCAGAUAAAGCAAAGAAAAGAGAAAAGGGGAGUGGGGUGGGGUGGGUGUAUGGUGGCCUCACCUUCUUUUAAUUAGAUAUGUAAAUAGAUAAUUAAUAACAUUUUUUUUAUUAUUAA